rnacentral:rRNA from 1 species
GAUGAACGCUGGCGGCGUGCUUUACACAUGCAAGUCGAACGAACGACUAUUAACAGAACCUUUCGGGGCGAAGAAUAUAGAAGUUAGUGGCGGACGGGUGCGUAACGCGUGGGUAAUCUGCCUUUGUCAAAGGAAUAACUAUUCGAAAGAAUAGCUAAAACCGUAUAACAUAUUAAUAGGGCAUCCUAAUAAUAUCAAAACUGAGGUGGACAAAGAUGAGCCCGCGUCUGAUUAGCUAGUUGGUGAGAUAAAAGCCCACCAAGGCAACGAUCAGUAGCCGACCUGAGAGGGUGAACGGCCACAUUGGAACUGAGACACGGUCCAAACUCCUACGGGAGGCAGCAGUGGGGAAUAUUGCACAAUGGGGGGAACCCUGAUGCAGCAACGACCGCGUGAGUGAAGAAGGCAUGCGUGUGCGUAAAACUCUGUAGUAGGGGAAGAAAGAAAUGACAGUACCCUAAAAGAAAGCCCCGGCUAACUACGUGCCGGCAGCCGCGGUAAUACGUAGGGGGCAAGCGUUAUCCGGAAUAACUGGGCGUAAAGGGUGCGCAGGUGGUUUAACAAGUAAGUGGUGAAAGGCAUAGGCUCAACCAAUGUAAGCCAUUAAAACUGUUUAACUUGAGUGCAGGAGAGGAAAGUGGAAUUCCUAGUGUAGCGGUGAAAUGCGUAGAUAUUAGGAGGAAUACCAGUGGCGAAGGCGACUUUCUGGACUGCAACUGACACUGAGGCACGAAAGCGUGGGGAGCAAACGGGAUUAGAUACCCUGGUAGUCCACGCCGUAAACGAUGAGUACUAGGUGUCGGGUGAAGAACUCGGUGCCGAAGUUAACACAUUAAGUACUCCGCCUGGGGAGUACGCUCGCAAGAGUAAAACUCAAAGGAAUUGACGGGGACCCGCACAAGCAGCGGAGCAUGUGGUUUAAUUCGUAGCAACGCGAAGAACCUUACCUAAACUUGACAUACCAAUGACAGCCUUUUAAUCGAGGACUUUUACCUUCGGGUAGACAAUGGAUACAGGUGGUGCAUGGUUGUCGUCAGCUCGUGUCGUGAGAUGU